UUUCGAAUCAUUCACAAUGGGCGAAAGCCUGAUGGUGCGACGCCGCGUGGGGGACGAAGGUCUUCGGAUUGUAAACCCCUGUCACUGGGGAAAAAACGCUGCCGGUAAACAGCCGGCAGCCUGAUUUAACCCGGAGAGGAAGCAGUGGCUAACUCUGUGCCAGCAGCCGCGGUAAUACAGAGACUGCAAGCGUUGUUCGGAUUCACUGGGCGUAAAGGGUGCGCAGGCGGCCAAGUGUGUCAGGUGUGAAAGCUCGAGGCUUAACCUCGAAACUGCGCCUGAAACUAUUUGGCUAGAGUACUGGAGAGGGAAGUGGAAUUCACGGUGUAGCAGUGAAAUGCGUAGAUAUCGUGAGGAACACCAAUGGCGAAGGCAACUUCCUGGACAGUUACUGACGCUCAGGCACGAAAGCGUGGGGAGCAAAAGGGAUUAGAUACCCCCGUAGUCC
rnacentral:rRNA from 1 species